GUCUGGCGUUGCUGUGGCUGUGGUGUAGGCUGGCAGCUAUAGCUGAUUUGAUCUAGCCUGGGAACUCCCAUAUUCCGCAGGUACAGCCCUGAAAAGAAAGAGAAAAAGAAAAGAUGAGGAGCCCCCCUCCUCUCAUCCCCAAGGCCUUCCCACUCCCCCUAGGCCCGUGGUGGGGGACUCAGACCCAACCAGCAUCCAUCUGUUGAGAGCUGUCCACUGUAUGGACAUGGGAUAGAGUCCCUCUGCUGGUGCCAUCUUCAGGCAGACUAAAUGGUGAUCAGAAUCCCCUGCCCAGCCUCUGAGCUGGACCUCCUAGGGUCCCUGGAAACCCCUCCCCUGCUCUAGUAGUUCCUUAGUCAUUCCCUGGGGGCGAGGCUGUCAGGAGACUGGUGGUUUUCCAGAGGCAGUAGGAGUGGGGGCCCAGGCAGUGCAGGGCUGGGGAGCUCUAAGGAGAGAGCAGGGGGCUGGUGGGUUGGCUGGCAUAUAGUUUUGUCAGGGAGUGGCCCACGCUCCUCAUCCCCAGCCCGCCUGGUGGGCCGGGCAUGGGAGGCAGGAUGGCCAGAAGCCCAGGGCCGGGUCCACGCUGCCUUCCUUCUCCCCUCCUUUGCCCAGGGUCCUGCAUCCUCGAGCCCCCUAUGUGGCCGCCCUGCACCCCUGCCUGCCCACUGGAUGCCAUGCACUGCCCCUGUGCCCUGUUUCCCUGCUUGGCACUGCCAGCCACUCGCUCUGCUUACAGUGCCCCACAGCCCCUGCACCACUGCUGGCUGAGACCUUCCUCUGGCAAUGCAAACCCCUCUCUUCCCUGGGCCCCCCUGGAACUCCGGUGAGGUGCUCACCAGAGGGCUGAGGGGUGGUACCACCCACUCAGGGGUGGGCUCAGUCCAGUGGAAACCAUUACCUGCUUACUCUUGUCUCUUCCUGCCCUUCUGUGCUCCAGUCUUGGGGGGAGGGCAGAAGGGGACCGACACCACAUCUGUCAGGCCUAGAGCCCAGGGCUCUUCAUCCUGGCCAGACACUAUGCCCAGCCCCGCCUCAGCCCUGCACAGACAUACACACACGCAAACACACGUGCACACUGGCACAUGCACACGCACGCGCUGCCCCUUUGCACAAGAGACUGGCAGAGGACCCUCACCGGUGGGCAUCGAGGUUCAGCCCUCAGGGCCCGGGGCAUCUGACCCUGGCCCCCCAGGAGGGGCGCUAUUUGGACUUUUGGGACACCCAGCGAUGAGACCGUAAGGCAAGAAGAAGAGAGAACCUGAAGACCUUCAGUGUGACCCCAGCCACCUUCCGGGGCAUUUGGCACUGGAGGGCACACACUACCCAAAAUGACCACGGAGAGAUUAGAGACUGCGUGUGUGAUGCACCCAUGGCG